ACAAAGGCCUUUUUAAAAGCCAAUAUAUGUUCCAUUAACAUUUUAU
rfam:Capsicum annuum cultivar Zunla-1 chromosome 11, whole genome shotgun sequence